CCUUGCCAGCCCGCUCAGAAACUCAAAUGAAUUGACGGGGGCCCGCACAAGCGGUGGAGCAUGUGGUUUAAUUCGAUGAUACGCAGGAACCUUACCUGGGCUCAAAUGUAUGUUGACGUAUUCUGAAAGGGAUACUUCUUCGGACAAUAUACAAGGUGCUGCAUGGUUGUCGUCAGCUCGUGCCGUGAGGUGUCGGGUUAAGUCCCAUAACGAGCGCAACCCCUAUCAUUAGUUACCAUCAGGUAAGGCUGGGGACUCUAAUGAGACUGCCAUCGUAAGAUGUGAGGAAGGCGGGGAUGACGUCAAGUCAUCAUGGCCCUUACGGCCUGGGCUACACACGUGCUACAAUGGUCGGUACAAAGGGUUGCCAAGCCGCGAGGUGGAGCUAAUCCCAUAAAACCGAUCGUAGUCCGGAUCGCAGUCUGCAACUCGACUGCGUGAAGUCGGAAUCGCUAGUAAUCGCGGAUCAGAACGCCGCGGUGAAUACGUUCUCGGGUUU
rnacentral:rRNA from 1 species